GGGUCGUUAGCUCAGUUGGUAGAGCAGUUGACUUUUAAUCAAUUGGUUAGAGCAGUUGACUUUUAAUCAAUUGGUCGCAGGUUCGAAUCCUGCACGACCCACCA
rnacentral:tRNA from 1 species